UUUGUUCUACCACUUUUCCCAUGCUGAGAACUGGAAGAGAAAACACACUGCAGGACAAGAAUUAAUGGUGUCAAACAAAUGCCAUCAAACACAAUUGAAGAAUUGAUUUCUCUGUCGGAAAUGGAUGAAGGAGACAAAAGAGGAGGUUCUCCCUACACAGAUUCUUCUGUCUCAGCCUUCAAAGUACCCGGGACUACAGGAAUGUAACACCACAUCCAGCUGAGCAUCUUUUUAUGCUUACUUGCCAUCUGUACUUACUCUUUGGUAUCUUCUUGUCACCAGUCUAUAACUGAAUUUAUAAGAGCAAACAUCCCAAUCCAGUGACCUCUAUGUUUAGUAGGCACAUCAUUGUUUACAUUUAUUUCAAACAAAUAGUAUUUGAUUUAUUUCUACCAUC